AUGCAUGUCUAAGACUGCAU
rnacentral:misc_RNA from 1 species